CUCAUAAUAAUUAAUUGCUAAAACAAACUUGAAGAUUCAAUGUUGACACUAAGCAAAAAUUACUCAAAAUGGUAAAAGAAAGGAGUUCAUGAGCGGAGCUCUACGUCCAAAACUAUAUGAUGACCUAAAAAUGGGAAAAGAAACUAUUUAUACUAGGCUGAAAAUUCUAAACAAAAAUACCCUCGGGGAGGCUAAUGCAGACUACUCAAAAUCUAGUGCCGCUGCACUAAGGCUCUUGGCUUUACUUUUUUGCUCUCUGAAGUUGGCCACUGCAGACCGCACAAAAUGCACCGCGGUCGCGGUGGCUUCUAUUGUGGUUUGCACAAAAUAGAUCAGGGACCGCAUUGGGCACAAUCCUCUAAUUGUCAUCUCUCUGAACUUUGGCUCUACGGACCGCACGAAAUCUAGUGCAACCGCAAUGAACCCAAUGCGGAUCGCACAAAACCCUUUGCGGCCGCAUAGUCUGGUGGCCUGAAAAGCAUAGUCUCCGAACUUCAUCUUUGUGGACCGCACAAAAUGGUGUGCAGCCACAAUGGCCCUAUUUAACUGAGCUUGAUCUUGUCUUAGUACUUUUGCAAGUUUCACUUCUUUUUGAGUUGGUUUUUGACACCUUGUCACUUUGUUUAUCAAACCUGCAAUCAAGCACAAGUUGUGAGCCUUUGGGACUAUUUUUUACAUAUUUCUAAUCAAAAUGUAAGCAAGAAGGAGUGUAACAUACACCAUAAUUCCUAGUUAUCGCACCUACUUAUGAAAUCUAGGCAAGCCGAGAGUUACAAAUUAUACCCUUUUUACUUAGCCUUUUGAUACUUCAAUAUAACAGCGAUCAACAUCGGAAUAACCAUAAUAAUAAAAUAAAUGCGGAAGACAAAAUUUUUUGAUACUAUCACUAAAUACUAAUACGGAAGUCCAAAAUACAACUCUAUCCAAAAUUGGUGUCGCAAUGUCACGGACUAUCUACGAAUACUAUAAAUAGCGGUCUGAAAGAUAAAUAUAAAUCUGUCUCUGAAAUACAUAAAAGAAAAACAACGGAAAGAUAGAGGGAGACGCUAAUGCCCGCGGAUGUCUGCAGGACUACUCGGGUCUCCGCCUCUGGACUGAAGGCACAACCUCACUAUUGUCCAAAAGCUCUAGCACCGGCAUCUGCACACAAUACAGAGUAUAGUAUCAUCAAAACUAAUCCCAUGUGCUGGUAGGUGUUGAGAAUAACCUCGGUAAAGUAGUGACGAGGCUAGGACAAGACUACCAAAUAAAUCUUUGUAGUUAUAUCAUAUACUACAAAUAAUAACAACAAAAACUAACAGUUAAAGAUGAGAAUAGGAAAACAUGCUUAGAGGAAUAUCAUGUACAAUAGAAAUUCGGUAAAGAAACAUGCGGAACAUAAAAAUUCAACAACAAACAAGAAUAAGGAGAACAAUAACAAGUGCAUGGCAUCACCCUUCAUGCUUUCACUCUCGUUCUCACUAUAAGAAUCAAUAUAUUAGGCACGGCAUCACUCUUAGUUCUUUUACCUAACAUAAUAAUGGCACGACAUUUUUGUUCAUGCAUUAUCACUCAUAUCUGGCACGACAUCACCCUUUAUGCUUUUACAAUCACAAUAUCGGCACAUAAUCACCCUUCGUGCUUUUACAAUUACAAUAUUCGCACGGCAUCACACUUCGUGCAUUAACACGCACUCACAAAUAUCACAUACGACAUCAUCCUUCGUGCUUUUACACCUUUCCUUACUCAAGCAACAAUCACAAAGCAACUUAGGUAAAGGAAUCAAUAAAAUAACAAUAUAAUCUCGGUAAGGGAACAAUAUUAUAAUAAUAAUAUCCCGACAAGGGAAACAAUAUCAAAAGCAACAACAUCCCCGACAAAUGAGACAAUAUCAUAAACCUCUCUUUCACAAUUUCUGCGUAACUCAAUUCUCAACUUGAGUCAACGCUCUACAAUGUUCAAUUACCAAGAAUACUAUAAGCCUUGUUCAAUAUCAGAAAUCAUCAUAUUAAGCAUGAAUGAUACAAAAUGGAGUCACAUUAAUCAUAGUAUAAGAAUUACUGGCAUGCUUGACACUGACGUAUAGAUACUCAUCACUAUACCUAUAUGUCAUACUCAACAAUUAACACAUAGCAAAUAAGACCAAGGCCCAUAUUGCCCUCAUGCUAAGGUUAGACCAAACACUUACCUCAAUGUCACGAAUACAAUCAAGCCUCAACUACCGCUUUACCCCUCGAUUCCACCACCAUCUGCCUGUAUCCACGAUUUACUUAACGAUAUCAAUAAAUGCUAAAUGAAUCAAUUCUAUUCCAUGAAGAUAGAUUUUUUAAUAUUUUUCCUUAAAAAGUCAAAGAUCGACCCCGGGACCACAUGAUCAAAACCCGAGGUUCGAACCAAAACCAGACCACUCAUUCAUCCACAAAAUUCAAAUAUAUAAUUUGUUAUGAAAUCAGAUCUCAAUCGAGGCCCAAAUCCCCAUAAUUUGAAAAUCUUAAGUCCAAUCCAGAAACACCCAUUUUUCUUAUAAAAACCCUUGAUUUUGAAUUGAAAUAAUGUGAAAAGAUGUUAUAGAUUGAAGAAAAUAAGUUAGAAAUGGUUUACAAUUAAUUUGGAGAAGAACUUUUCUUUAGAAAAUCGCCCAAGAGAGCUUAAGGUUUGAGAGAAUUCAGAAAAUGAAGAAAUUUCGUCUAAGUUAUAAUUUGCACAGGUGCAGAUGUCACAUUUACAAAGUCAGGUUCACAAACGAGACCCGGGCUUGGCAAAUGCGAAGGUAGGACUACCCCUACUUUCUUCGCAAAUGCGAACAACCGUUCGCAAUUGCAAUACUUGCUAAGGUCGCAUUUGCAAUAUUGAGCCCCUUAAAUGCGAAGGUCUCCCUGCCUAGCCCAUUUUCACAAUUGCGAUGUUUCUUCGCAAAUGCGAGCUUGUAUUUGCGAUCCAGGCUUCACAAUUGCUAAGCCUGCAAAUCUGCAACACAGUAGUAGUUUCCCAAAGUCUAAUUUUCACUCUUUGCCUAUCCAAAACAAACCCGAGCUCUCGGGACUCCAAACCAAACAUGCACGCUAGCCCAAAAACAUCAUACAUACUUGCUCGUAUGAUCAAAUCAUCAAAAUAACAUAAACAAUUAUGGAUUAAACCUCAAAUUCAUGAAAUCACUCAAGAACAUCAAAAUUUUUAUUUUCUCAAAUAAAGGUCCGAUUUAUACUAAACGAACUCCGAUUCUUAUCAAACUUCACAGAUUCAACUUAAUUGUUAUAUAUGACAUGUAAUAGGCUUCAGAACCAAAAUAUGAGCCCGAUACCAUUUCAAAUAUCUUUACAUUUUCAAAAACUCUUAUAAUUUUCAGUUAAACAAUUUCUUUCAAAAUUUUAUUUCUCGGGCUUGGGACUUCGGAAUUUGAUUAUGGGCAUACACCCAAGUCCCAUAUUUUACUACGAAUCCUACAAGAUCGUUGGAUCACGGGCCCGGGUCCAUUUACCAAGAAUGUUGACCGAAGUCAGCUUUACUCAAUUUUUAAAAGCCAAUUUCCUCAUUUUACUUAGUUUUCACAUAAAAGCUUUCCGAAAACGUGCUCAGAUUGAGCACACAAAUCCAGGUGAGACAAAAAGAGAUUUAUAAGGACUCGGAAUAUAGAAUUUACUUUAAAAACAAGUCCAAUUCAUUUCAAGGAUUUCAUCUGCAAUAACAUUUUUCUCACUCAGCUCACUAAUUCUUGUUAAACACAACCUACUAAGCCUUAUGUUUACUCUUUUGGAGCUAUAUCACCACAUAAUCAACACAUCAUGAAGUCCAUUUCAGAAAUAUAAGAGCCUAUUAGUUAUUCUCAAGCUUCUAUGCAUCCUGGUUGGCAAAAAGCCAUGGACUCAUAAAUUGAAACUCUACAAGCAAACCGUACUUGGGAUGUGGUACUAUUACCUAAAGAAAAGAAGGCAUUGCCUUGCAAAUGGGUUUACAAAGUCAAGCAUAAAUCAGAUGGUUCGGUAGAGAGACUCAAGGCUAGAUUAGUAGUUGGGGGACACACUCAAAGGGAAGGAAUAGAUUAUACAGAGACUUUCUCACCAAUGGUCAGAAUGAUCAUUAUAAGAUCUUUGAUGGUAGUAGCAGCAAAGAAGGACUGACCAAUCUAUCAGCUUGAUGUAAGCAAUGCUUUCUUAUAUGGGGAUUUAUAAGAGGAAGUCUACAUGAAAUUUCCCCCUGAAAUGUCUUCCCUAAGCCAUAACCAUGUUUGUCUACUCAAAAAAUCUCUAUAUGGCUUAAAGCAAGCUUCACGAAAGCGGUAUGCUCGGCUUGCAGGUGCAUUAGGUUUCAAAGGCAAUUCUUCCUUUAUGAAUGACUAUUCCUUACUCUUUAAACAUGGCGGGAAUCUAACUUCUAUUGUGGCAGUGUAUGUCCAUGACAUUCUUUCAUUGGUAAUGAUUCUCAAGAAAUUUCAGCACUUAAAUCAUUUUUUAGUACAUAAUACAAAUUAAAGAUUUGGGAAAUUCAUAUUAUUUCCUAGGGAUGGAAAUUCUCAGAGAAUCGCAAGGAAUUAUUUUGUGUCAAAGGAAAUUUACCUUAGACUUAUUGCAUGAAUUUGAUAUCUUGAAUUCACCAUGUGUUUUUUCCCCUCUUGAACCAUCUUCAAAGCUCAGUGCUGAUGAAGGACCUCUGAUCUCCAAUCCUACUGUAUACCGACGUCUUGUUGGGAAGAUGAAUUAUCUCACUCACACUAGACCAGACUUAUCCUUUGUUGCACUUAAACUCAACCAAUAUAUACAAAGUUCUCGUCUUUCUCAUUAGUCGGCAGCCAUUCGAGUGCUAAGAUACUUCCGUUCAAAUCCCAGGCAAUGGAUAAUUUUGAACUCAGAUCCCUCUCUUAAGCUUGUGGCUUUUUGUGAUGCCGAUUGGGAUUCUUGUCCUGAAUCUCGACACUCUAUCAGUGGGUUUUACAUUGCUCUGAGAAGGUCACCCAUUCCAUGGAAAUCCAAGAAACAUGCUUCAAUUGCUUUGUCUCCCGCUGAAGCAUAAAAUAGAUCCGUGCAUAGGGUUGUUGCUGAACAUGGCUCACUCGAUUGCUUGAAGAUUUGUCUGUCUCUCCAUCUCUGCAUAUUCCCAUUCUCUCUAACAAUAUAUCAACGAUUCAUAUUUCUCAGAAUCCAGUAUUCUACGAAAGGACGAAUCAUGUGGAAUUAGACUGUCACUUUGUCCGGCAAUAGUACCUUUUCUAUCUAAUUUCACUCUGAUACGUUCCUUCCUCUCACAUCUGGCCGACCAUUUCACCACUCUCAGGACCAGCUCAUAACUCUUCUCUUUGCAAGUUGGGUGUACUUCCAUCCCUUCCAACUUGAGCGAAGAUGCGAGAUAAUUCCUUAUGGUUCAUCUCAGAAGAAGAAGAAUGAAGAAGAAAACUCAAAAAUUUUGGGGACUGAUGAAGAAGUAGAUGAAAACCUAAGUCGCGUAAAGAAGAGACAAGGUUCAGACCAUAAGUAUCACAAACUAAAAUACUUAUGAUCUGAUCGAUACAAACUAUGAAGGAUAAAUAGGCUGGAAUUUAUUUUGUCUUGUUUUAUAUGAAAUGGGCCUUCCAAUUUCA
rnacentral:lncRNA from 1 species